UCAAUUCAAGUCAUGCAGGCUGUGAGAAACGUGGGGUCGUGGUUCCUGCGGUCCUGGACUUGGCCCCAGACAGCCGGCAGGGUCGUGGCCAGGACGCCGGCCGGGACCAUCUGCACAGGCGCUCGACAGCUCCAGGACGCUGCGGCCAAGCAGAAAGUUGAACAGAACGCGGCUCCCAGCCACACCAAGUUCAGGUGAGCCCCACUUGGACCAGCCCUCUGGAGACCCGCAACCCCUGACUCUUGCCCGACACCCUCCAGAGUCAGAACCAGUGAAUUUUCAGCUAUGUCACUUGCUAUCCGUGGGACCUUAUGCAAAUAAAUCUGAGCCUCAGCCUUCUCAUCUAAAAAUGCGGAUAAUGCUGAGAGUGGUUGUCAGAAUCAGAUGAGCCGUGGUACAGAGUUAAAUGUUCAGUGAACAUUCGUUAAAUCAGUGAGUGAAUGUGAGAUAUCCAUAACAUGUAUCAGCGUUCUUUUCUUCUGAGAUGGAGAUCUUUUCAGACCAACAACCUUCCCUGCCUCCAAAACAAAAUGGGGAGGUGGAGGGCGCUAGCGAUGGAACAGAUGUUCCUGCACGUCUUACGGAUGGUCUAGGGUGGGUUUUGUGCUCAGCCCUAGGAACUGGCAUCUUGCUUCCCACCAGUGCCACCACCUCUGUAUGCUGUAUACACAUCCACUUAACUUCACAUCCAUUUAACAAACAUUUACCAAGAAUCUACUAUGAGUGAGACACCAUGCUAGGUGCCGUGAAUACAGAUACAAAAGAUCAUUCCUCCCCACAAGUAGUUCACAGUCUUUGAGGGAAGACAAACAUGCAAACAUUUUAACCAUAAUCUGCUCAAUAGUAUAAUGGAGGUAAGCAUUGGUUGGAAGUAUGAAAUCAUAAGUGUCUAACUCCUGGCCGGGUGCAGUAGCUCCUGCCUUUAAUCCCAGCACUUUAGGCGGCCGAGGUGGGCGAAUUACUUGAGGUCAGGAGAUCGAGACCAACCUGGCCAACAUGGCGAAACCCCGUCUCCACUAAAAGCACAAAAACUAGCCAGGCGUGAUGGCUGGCACCUGUAAUCCCAGCCACUCAGGAGGCUGAAGUAGAAGAAUCGCAUGAACCCAGGGAGCGGAGGUUGCAGUGAGCCAAGAUCACGCCACUGUACUCCAGCCUGGGUGACAGAUUGAGACUCUGUCUCAAAGAAAAAAAAAAAAAGAAUAAGUGUCUCAUUCCUGAGGAAAUCAGGCAAGACCAUGGAGAAAAGAACAUGGAGCUCAGAAGUGAAUGGGAGUUCAUCUGGACAAGUUGAAGUGGGUCAUUGGAGACAAAGCAUUUACCCUCCCAUUCCAGGAGAGGAGAGCUCUCUGAGGUGGGCAGGAAAGAAAUUUGAGGAGAUCCCAAUCGCACACAUUAAAGCAUCCCACAACAACACACAGAUCCAGGUAGUCUCUGCUAGUAAUGAGCCCCUUGCCUUUGCUUCCUGUGGCACAGAGGGAUUUCGGAAUGCCAAGAAGGGCACAGGCAUCGCAGCACAGACAGCAGGCAUAGCCGCAGCGGCGAGAGCUAAACAAAAGGGCGUGAUCCACAUCCGAGUUGUGGUGAAAGGCCUGGGGCCAGGACGCUUGUCUGCCAUGCACGGACUGAUCAUGGGCGGCCUGGAAGUGAUCUCAAUCACAGACAACACCCCAAUCCCACACAAUGGAUGUCGUCCCAGGAAGGCUCGGAAGCUGUGAUGGGAAGGAAGCCUGCACUUGGUCCUGACCUCAAGCCUCAGCUCCAGUGGGACCUUGUAAAAUGCUCCCUGUCAGAGCUCUCCAGAAUAUGCUUGUUGGAGAUCCUUCAGGCAGUAAGGGAGAGUUUUGCCUCCUUACACAGUGGCCUUUGCUUGCACCUCCAGCUGGAGAUGGGUGUGCCCCAGAAGUAAGCUUUGCAUCUCACAAGAGGGGAGCUACAGGGGCAGCCGUGGCCUAGGCCCAAACUCUGCUCUGAGAAAAUAAAUAUCUGUACCAUCUGUC
rnacentral:sRNA from 1 species